AGAGUUUGAUCCUGGCUCAGGAUGAACGCUAGCGGCAGGCUUAACACAUGCAAGUCGAGGGGCAGCAUUGGUACUUGUACCAGAUGGCGACCGGCGCACGGGUGCGUAACGCGUAUGCAACCUACCUUUUACUGGGGAAUAGCCUUUAGAAAUGAAGAUUAAUACCCCAUAAUAUAAUGAUAUAGCAUUUUAUUAUUAUUAAAGUUUCGGCGGUAAAAGAUGGGCAUGCGUUUUAUUAGUUAGUUGGUAAGGUAACGGCUUACCAAGACUACGAUAAAUAGGGGUCCUGAGAGGGAGAUCCCCCACACUGGUACUGAGACACGGACCAGACUCCUACGGGAGGCAGCAGUGAGGAAUAUUGGACAAUGGGCGAGAGCCUGAUCCAGCCAUGCCGCGUGCAG
rnacentral:rRNA from 1 species